AACGAACGCUGGCGGCGCGCCUAACACAUGCAAGUCGAACGAGAAUCCGGGGCAACCCGGUAGUAAAGUGGCAAACGGGUGAGGAAUACAUGGGUAACCUACCCUUGAGAAGGGAAUAACCCGCCGAAAGGUGAGCUAAUACCCUAUACGCUAUCUUUUUUUCGAAAAGGAUAGGAAAGCCGGGUCGAGGACCUGGUACUCAAGGAGGGGCUCAUGUCCUAUCAGCUUGUUGGUGGGGUAACGGCCUACCAAGGCUACGACGGGUAGCUGGUCUGAGAGGAUGAUCAGCCACACUGGCACUGAGAUACGGGCCAGACUCCUACGGGAGGCAGCAGUGAGGAAUAUUGCGCAAUGGGCGAAAGCCUGACGCAGCGACGCCGCGUGGGGGAUGAAGGUUUUCGGAUUGUAAACCCCUUUCAUGAGGAAAGAUAAAGUGGGUAACCACUUAGACGGUACCUCAAGAAGAAGCCACGGCUAACUUCGUGCCAGCAGCCGCGGU
rnacentral:rRNA from 1 species